UGAGUAACACGUAUGCAAUCCACCUGUAACAGGGGGAGUAACCCGGAGAAAUCCGGACUAAUACCCCAUAAUAUGGGCGCUCCGCAUGGAGAGUCCAUUAAAGAGAGCAAUCUUGGUUACAGACGAGCAUGCGCUCCAUUAGCCAGUUGGCGGGGUAACGGCCCACCAAGGCGACGAUGGAUAGGGGUUCUGAGAGGAAGGUCCCCCACAUUGGAACUGAGACACGGUCCAA
rnacentral:rRNA from 1 species